UUAAUUAACACGACUACAACAUAAACUCAUCAUUAAACAAAUAUGACAUACAUUCUAAGUUCUAACACCAGUUUAAUUGUUUUGCAAAUCUCUACCUUCGGUAUACAAAAACUCUCCACGAUUCUUCAAUCAUCAUUCAAUUCCUUGUUUUAAGUUCCCGCCUAAAUUUUUUAAUUGGUGAUUUAGAGAAAGUGUUAAAUGAAGCUAAGAUCUAUAAAAAUAUUUCACCCAUUCGACAGUCGGUUCCCUCGCGAUUACUUCCAAUAAUUGAAAAGUAGUAAUUCGCUGCGAUUACAGUAAUUCAAUUCAGCUGAGUAAAUAGAAAAUGUGGCAAAUUGUUUGGUUGCAAAAAUGCUCUACGAAUAUCAAUAAACUGAAUGUCUCCAAAGGCAAUGAAAUGUAAACAGAUACACGAUGUAGAUAAAAGCAAUACAAGAUGGCUUGCAGUAAAUGGACCGAGUUAAGAAAAUACCGGAGCUGUCUUGCGAGAUACUUAUGCAAAUAGUGUUGUUGUUGUGCAUUGAAAAGUACUUAGAAGAAGGUAAUGUGCGUAGUUACUUUUAUCAGAGUUGCCUUUGUGCGAAAUGUGUGUGUGUGUGUGUGUGGUUGGACGGACGGACGAUAAAGUGAAACUGCUUCGAGUAUUAACUGUGAAAUAGUUGUGCAAAGUGCAAAGUGCUGCAGUAAAUAAUAUUUUAAAGUUCAUGCAAAGUGAAAAAGAAAGCGCUUACGGCGAAGGUGUAUAAAGUGAUAAAAUAUGUGAAAAGUGGUGUGAAUAAAGUAGGUUAAGUAAAAUAAAGAAGAAAUAAAGUGGUUAAAUAAAAAGUGCGUGUGGUGGCAUAGAAGAAGCUUAAUAAAAUUGCAAUAAAAGUGUUAUGUAAAAAGCAAAUUUUAGCAAUAUCAUUUAUUGUAUUAUAUGCAUAAGGUUCCUGAAGUUAAUAAAAAUGUGUAAAGUUUGUGGUUUAUUGCAAAAAAAAUUAGAAUAAUAAAAAAAAAAUCAAAAUUUAUGUAAUAAAAGUGAAGCAAUUUAAAAAAGGAGAUGUGAUAAAAAGUGAAAUAAAAGUGAUGUAUGUAAGCGAAUAAAAGCAACACAACAAUGGAAGCGUAAAUCUCCUGCAAUUCAUAAUUUUCAGCGAAAGAGAAGUGUCAAAAAUGCGAAGAAUUGAG